GUGAACGAGCGACGCCGCGUGGGCGAUGAAGGCCUUCGGGUCGUAAAGCCCUGUCACAGGGGGGAGAAACGCAUCCAGCCGAAUAAGCUGGGUGCUUGACGUUGCCCCUGGAGAAAGACCCGGCUAACUCCGUGCCAGCAGCCGCGGUAAUACGGAGGGGUCAAGCGUUAUUCGGAUUUACUGGGCGUAAAGGGCGCGUAGGCGGGAUCACGGGUCGGCCGUGAAAUCCACCGGCUCAACCGGUGAACUGCGGUCGAAACUGUGAUUCUUGAGCUUGGUAGAGGAAGGCGGAAUUCCUGGUGUAGCGGUGGAAUGCGUAGAUAUCAGGAAGAACACCGGUAGCGAAGGCGGCCUUCUGGGCCAUGGCUGACGCUGAGGCGCGAAAGCUGGGGGAGCAAACAGGCUUAGAUACCCUGGUAGUCCCAGCCUUAAACGAU
rnacentral:rRNA from 1 species